rnacentral:rRNA from 1 species
AGUGAACGCUGGCGGUAGGCCUAACACAUGCAAGUCGAACGGCAGCACAGUAAGAGCUUGCUCUUACGGGUGGCGAGUGGCGGACGGGUGAGGAAUACAUCGGAAUCUACUUUUUCGUGGGGGAUAACGUAGGGAAACUUACGCUAAUACCGCAUACGACCUACGGGUGAAAGCAGGGAACCUUCGGACUUUCCGCGUUGAAUUGACCCGAUGUCGGAUUAGCUAGUUGGCGGGGUAAAGGCCCACCAAGGCGACGAUCCGUAGCUGGUCUGAGAGGAUGAUCAGCCACACUGGAACUGAGACACGGUCCAGACUCCUACGGGAGGCAGCAGUGGGGAAUAUUGGACAAUGGGCGCAAGCCUGAUCCAGCCAUACCGCGUGGGUGAAGAAGGCCUUCGGGUUGUAAAGCCCUUUUGUUGGGAAAGAAAAGCAGCGGGUUAAUACCCCGCUGUUCUGACGGUACCCAAAGAAUAAGCACCGGCUAACUUCGUG